AAAUUGAAGAGUUUGAUCAUGGCUCAGAUUGAACGCUGGCGGCAGGCCUAACACAUGCAAGUCGAACGGUAACAGGAAGCAGCUUGCUGCUUCGCUGACGAGUGGCGGACGGGUGAGUAAUGUCUGGGAAACUGCCUGAUGGAGGGGGAUAACUACUGGAAACGGUGGCUAAUACCGCAUAACGUCGCAAGACCAAAGAGGGGGACCUUCGGGCCUCUUGCCAUCAGAUGUGCCCAGAUGGGAUUAGCUUGUUGGUGAGGUAACGGCUCACCAAGGCGACGAUCCCUAGCUGGUCUGAGAGGAUGACCAGCCACACUGGAACUGAGACACGGUCCAGACUCCUACGGGAGGCAGCAGUGGGGAAUAUUGCACAAUGGGCGCAAGCCUGAUGCAGCCAUGCCGCGUGUAUGAAGAAGGCCUUCGGGUUGUAAAGUACUUUCAGCGGGGAGGAAGGUGUUGCGGUUAAUAACCGCAGCAAUUGACGUUACCCGCAGAAGAAGCACCGGCUAACUCCGUGCCAGCAGCCGCG
rnacentral:rRNA from 1 species